rnacentral:lncRNA from 1 species
GGGGAGAAGGAGAGUUAGACGCCUAUCUAGGGAUUUGUUUCCUUCCCCUCAAAGAUUAUUAUGACCUUCACCAGAUAGAAGAAUAGAGGAGAUGGCUGAAAGAACUCCUCCAAGACGCACUCUUGCAGACCAAUCAAAUGCGGUUGGCCCUUUCCAUUUUAACAACAUAGUCAUGCCUACGAAUUAAACGACCAACAUGGUGAUGAAUCCAACACUUAUACACUUGGUGCAAAGCAAACCGUUUCAUGGCC